rnacentral:rRNA from 1 species
GUAGGGAAUAUUGCGCAAUGGGGGAAACCCUGACGCAGCGACGCCGCGUGAGUGAUGAAGGCCUUCGGGUCGUAAAGCUCUGUUGCAGGGGAAUAAAAAAAUGAAGGUACCCUGUGAGGAAGGAUCGACUAACUUCGUGCCAGCAGCCGCGGUAAGACGAGGGAUCCUAGCGUUGCUCGGAAUCAUUGGGCGUAAAGAGGGCGUAGGUGGCUUGGUAAGUCAGGUGUGAAAACCCAGGGCUCAACCCUGGAAGUGCAUUUGAUACUGCUGAGCUUGAGUGUCGGAGAGGUUACCGGAAUACCUGGUGUAGUGGUGAAAUACGUAGAUAUCAGGUGGAACACCGGAGGCGAAGGCGGGUAACUGGACGAACACUGACACUGAGGCCCGAAAGCGUGGGGAUCAAACAGGAUUAGAUACCCGAGUAGUCC